rnacentral:rRNA from 1 species
GGCGAACGCUGGCGGCGUGCUUAACACAUGCAAGUCGAACGGAAAGGCCCUGCUUUUGUGGGGUGCUCGAGUGGCGAACGGGUGAGUAACACGUGAGUAACCUGCCCUUGACUUUGGGAUAACUUCAGGAAACUGGGGCUAAUACCGGAUAGGAGCUCCUGCUGCAUGGUGGGGGUUGGAAAGUUUCGGCGGUUGGGGAUGGACUCGCGGCUUAUCAGCUUGUUGGUGGGGUAGUGGCUUACCAAGGCUUUGACGGGUAGCCGGCCUGAGAGGGUGACCGGCCACAUUGGGACUGAGAUACGGCCCAGACUCCUACGGGAGGCAGCAGUGGGGAAUAUUGCACAAUGGGCGGAAGCCUGAUGCAGCAACGCCGCGUGCGGGAUGACGGCCUUCGGGUUGUAAACUGCUUUCGCCUGUGACGAAGCGUGAGUGACGGUAAUGGGUAAAGAAGCACCGGCUAACUACGUG